GUCAAUUUCGAUCUGAAUGACCAUCGGACAAAAUCAACUGUUGUUUCUGCCAUAAACGGAAUCUCUUACCUACAAGGUUCUACUCACACUGAUCUUGGGCUAAAUCUUGCCUGGACCAAAGUCUUCAACCAACUUGGCGACCGCCCUGAUGCUCAGAACAUUCUGUACGUGCUGACAGACGGACAAUCCAGUAACCCCGCGGCCACGGCGGUACAAGCUGGGCAGGUGCGCGAGCACAACAUCAAAACAUACGCCAUUGGCAUCGGGACCAAUGUAAGGAGACCAGAACUUAACAGCAUUGCUAUGAACAGUGCCUACGUGAUUCAAGUGUCCGACUUCUCCAACCUUCAGACCAUCACGGCUAAACUCAGAAACGACCUGUGUUCAGAUGUCCCGGUGACUACCGCCUCGCCUCCUUUGGACUGUAAAGGAGUAACCUGUCAGGGAUACAACAACACUUGUAUUCUAAGCGACACUGGCCGGAACGGUACUCUUGCAGCCGGCUGUCAACAUGAAUGCCACUAUAUCAUGACCAUUCAAUAUUCGCCCUGUGGGUCAUGGCCGCUCUCAUCCUGUUGUUGCAGAACACAAAGCUGCAUCGACUCCAUCCAAGCCACAACAACCUUCUCUACCACCACUUCAACUACAACAGUUCCAACAACAACACAGGCACCUUGUCGAGAUCACGGACCAGUUGGCUACUGCACCAAUGAAAAGGAUACCAUUUGUAACCCUACGGACGAGCGGGGUUGGGAAUACGCCCAGCACAUGUGUCCAGUCACGUGCAACCUAUGUUCGGAACACCUCCGUCAGGACUGUGAGGACAACGAUAAAAACGGACUCUGUGAACUGAACAGGGACAGUAUCUGUAACGCCGCCAAUCCAGAGGGAAAGGAGUUUGCUAUCAACGCAUGCGCAAAAACUUGCAACAUGUGCAGUGAAUACUAUGCAAUUUACAACGAGAAGCACGAAUUCACAAGCAAAACAACACCGACAACAACCACGCCCACGACAACAACAACUCCAACGACGACAACAACUCCCACGACAACAACAACGCCCACAACAACGACGACGCCCACGACAACAACAACGCCCACAACAACGACGACGCCCACAACAACAACAACAACGCCUACGACAACAACCACACCAACUACGACAACAAAACCAACAACCCAGAAGCCGACAUUUCCUUCUACAGCAACACCGACAACAACUGCCCCUGCACCUACAACAUCGACAGCUGCUCCAACAACUACCACUACACCGACGACGACAACAACAACAGUCGUAGAAACAACAACCGAAGAGAACUCCGGAGUUAUUAUUAUUGGUUGAAUGUUUCAUGAUAAGAUAAAAUAAAUGUGAUCUAUUAUG
rnacentral:misc_RNA from 1 species